rnacentral:rRNA from 1 species
AACGAACGCUGGCGGCAUGCCUAACACAUGCAAGUCGAACGAGACCUUCGGAUGAACUGGCGCAUGCGUGCGUAACGCGUGGGAAGCUUCCCUUAGAUUCCGGAUAACUCUCCGUAGGGGGUGCUAAUACCGGAAAAUGUCUGCUGACACAACAUUUGACGCCUUUGGAUGGGCCCGCGUUGGUUUAACUAGUUGGUAGGGUAAAAGCCUACCAAGGCGUCGCUCGAUAGCUGGUCUGAGAGCAUGAGCAGCCACACUGGGACUCAGACACGGCCCAGACUCUUACGGGAGGCAGCAGUGGGUAAUAUUGGACAAUGGGGGAAAGCCUGAUCCAGCAAGGCCGCGUAAGUGAUGAAGGUCUGAGGGUUGUAAAGCUCUUUUACCCGGGAUGAUAAUGACAGUACCGGGAGAAUAAGCUCCGGCUAACUCCGUG